GACGUGCUCCUGCUGUAAGAAGAAGGGAGCGUGUGUGGGCUGUAACGUGCCGAGCUGCAGGAGGACGGUCCACUACCCCUGUGGGAGGAGACACCAGUACGUCUCCCAGUUCACCGGACUCUUCCCGUCCUACUGUCCGGAUCACAGUCCCACCCAGUCUGUGUGUGUGAGUUCAGACCUCAGUCUGCCUCAGUCCUGCUCCGUCUGUUUGGACUCCAUCGACCCCGUCCUGAGCUACUCCGUCCUCAAAUGUCCGUCCUGCCACGGCAGCUGGUUCCACAGGGACUGUGUGCAGCGUCAGGCCCACAAUGCCGGCCUCUUCUUCUUCAGAUGUACUCUCUGUAACAACAAGGAGCUCUUCCAGGAGGAGAUGCAGAGGAUGGGAAUCUACAUCCCAGAGAG